AUUGAACGCUGGCGGCAGGCCUAACACAUGCAAGUCGAGCGGAGCGGCGGACGGGGGAGUAAUGCCUAGGAAUCUGCCUGGUAGUGGGGGAGAACGUCCGGAAACGGGCGCUAAUACCGCAUACUAUCAGAUUAGCCUAGGUCGGAUUAGCUAGUGGGGGGGGUAAAGGCCUACCAAGGCGACGACCCGUAACUGGUCUGAGAGGAUGAUCAGUCAGACUGGAACUGAGACACGGUCCAAACUCCUACGGGAGGCAGGAGUGGGGAAUAGUGGACAAUGGACGAAAGUCUGAUCCAGCCACGCCGCGUGUGUGAAGAAGGUCUUCGGAUUGUAAAGCACUGUAGGUUGGGAAGCGUUAACAACAGAGUAAGCACCGGCUAACUUCGUGCCAGCCGCCGCGGUAAUAC
rnacentral:rRNA from 1 species